rnacentral:rRNA from 1 species
AUUGAACGCUGGCGGCAUGCCUUACACAUGCAAGUCGAACGGCAGCACGGGAGCAAUCCUGGUGGCGAGUGGCGAACGGGUGAGUAAAGUAUCGGAACGUGCCCAGUCGUGGGGGAUAACGUAGCGAAAGUUACGCUAAUACCGCAUACGAUCUAUGGAUGAAAGCGGGGGAUCGCAAGACCUCGCGCGAUUGGAGCGGCCGAUAUCAGAUUAGGUAGUUGGUGGGGUAAAGGCUCACCAAGCCGACGAUCUGUAGCUGGUCUGAGAGGACGACCAGCCACACUGGGACUGCGACACGGCCCAGACUCCUACGGGAGGCAGCAGUGGGGAAUUUUGGACAAUGGGCGAAAGCCUGAUCCAGCCAUGCCGCGUGCAGGAUGAAGGCCUUCGGGUUGUAAACUGCUUUUGUACGGAACGAAAAGGUUUGGGCUAAUAAGCUGAGCUCAUGACGGUACCGUAAGAAUAAGCACCGGCUAACUACGUGCCAGCCGCCGCAGUAA